UUUGUGGUUAGCACGAGACGGUUGACACAAUGAUCUGAAGUUCAAACUGCCAUUUUCUACUGUCCGCUGCAAGAUCUUGGCUGGAAUGUAAAAGGAAUGUCCAAAAUAUUUAAAUGACAAACAGGAUGGGAACUGAUAAUGAGCAAUAUGCUGAAACAGACAUCUGGCAUAUUCCUAUAAUCAGUAUCAUGGCCUUUGUAUACAACAAAAUUGAUUGGAACUCCUAGACUAGAAAUAUAAUUCAAGAUUUAAAUAAGGCACUGGUCAUAGUUUUAGAAAGUGUGGCUAGCAUUCUGAAGGAAGACAGAGAGAUGGAAAGACAUCAAAGAAUGGGCAGGUCUGCCAAGAAAUGGUUUAUCCAGGGCUAAGUACAGAGAGGAAUAUAGAAGGGCUGUUGACAGAUCUUGUGUGGUGGCCCCAUGGUUCAACAGACUGAUUGAUAGGAAUUAGUCAUUCAAAAGACGGUGAGGAAAAGAAUGGUCGACAAACCUUGUGUGGUGCCUUAACAGUCCA